AGGCUUUCUAAACUAGUUUGGCCGUUUGGAAGACACUACUGGAAGCUACACAGUCUUUGUUGUGCUUGCCUGUGGAUCAAGCUAAGACGACUUACUGUAGGCCUAAAACGUGAUUUCUGAAACGAGGCAGCCGCAAUUUAUCGCAGCGGCAAUUCAUGGAACAUACCUACAACUAAGUGGCAUAAGGUGGUCAAUGCAGCGCAGCAUCAUGGCAAAUCUGAGGGCCCAUCUGAGAGGCUACUGCAUCAAUAUAGUUUCGAUGUUUGUGAGUCUCAGUAACCCGAAAGGGUUUUCAUCUAAGGAAAAGACAAAACCACAACUCCUGAAUUGUUUCCUUGUGCCAACUUUUGCACUAAUCUAAAAAGAGGAAAAUCAAAAAGGAAAUCCUUCGAGUGGAAUCUAAUGCCUUAAACCUCCACCAGAAGUCACCAUCCUUUUUCACAAAGUUGGAGAAAAUUCACAGAG